rnacentral:rRNA from 1 species
GGACGAACGCUGGCGGCGUGCCUAAUACCUGCAAGUCGAACGCUGAAGGAGGAGCUUGCUUCUCUGGAUGAGUUGCGAACGGGUGAGUAACGCGUAGGUAACCUGCCUGGUAGCGGGGGAUAACUAUUGGAAACGAUAGCUAAUACCGCAUAAUAUUGACUAUUGCAUGAUAGUCAGUUGAAAGGUGCAACUGCACCACUACCAGAUGGACCUGCGUUGUAUUAGCUAGUUGGUGGGGUAACGGCUCACCAAGGCGACGAUACAUAGCCGACCUGAGAGGGUGAUCGGCCACACUGGGACUGAGACACGGCCCAGACUCCUACGGGAGGCAGCAGUAGGGAAUCUUCGGCAAUGGACGGAAGUCUGACCGAGCAACGCCGCGUGAGUGAAGAAGGUUUUCGGAUCGUAAAGCUCUGUUGUAAGAGAAGAACGAGUGUGAGAGUGGAAAGCUCACACUGUGACGGUAUCUGACCAGAAAGGGACGGCUAACUACGUG